rnacentral:rRNA from 1 species
AGUUUGAUCAUGGCUCAGAGUGAACGCUGGCGGCAGGCCUAUUACAUGCAAGUCGAACGGCAGCACAGCAGAGCUUGCUCUGUGGGUGGCGAGUGGCGGACGGGUGAGGAAUACAUGGGAAUCUGCCCAGUCGUGGGGGAUAACGUAGGGAAACUUACGCUAAUACCGCAUGCGCCCUUCGGGGGAAAGCCGGGGACCUUCGGGCCUGGCGCGAUUGGAUGAGCCCAUGUCGGAUUAGCUAGUUGGCGGGGUAAUGGCCCACCAAGGCGACGAUCCGUAGCUGGUCUGAGAGGAUGAUCAGCCACACUGGAACUGAGACACGGUCCAGACUCCUACGGGAGGCAGCAGUAGGGAAUAUUGGACAAUGGGCGCAAGCCUGAUCCAGCCAUGCCGCGUGAGUGAAGAAGGCCCUCGGGUUGUAAAGCUCUUUUGUCCGGAAAGAAAAGCGCCGGGUUAAUACCCUGGUGUCCUGACGGUACCGGAAGAAUAAGCACCGGCUAACUUCGUG